rnacentral:rRNA from 1 species
CCUACGGGUGGCAGCAGUGGGGAAUAUUGGGCAAUGGGCGCAAGCCUGACCCAGCAACGCCGCGUGAAGGAAGAAGGCCCUCGGGUUGUAAACUUCUUUUAUCAAGGACGAAACAAAUGACGGUACUUGAUGAAUAAGCCACGGCUAACUACGUGCCAGCAGCCGCGGUAAUACGUAGGUGGCAAGCGUUAUCCGGAUUUACUGGGUGUAAAGGGCGUGUAGGCGGGACUGCAAGUCAGAUGUGAAAACCAUGGGCUCAACCCAUGGCCUGCAUUUGAAACUGUAGUUCUUGAGUACUGGAGAGGCAGACGGAAUUCCUAGUGUAGCGGUGAAAUGCGUAGAUAUUAGGAGGAACACCAGUGGCGAAGGCGGUCUGCUGGACAGCAACUGACGCUGAGGCGCGAAAGCGUGGGGAGCAAACAGGAUUAGAUACCCCAGUAGUC